AUUGAACGCUGGCGGCAUGCCUUACACAUGCAAGUCGAACGGUAACAGGGAGCUUGCUCCGCUGACGAGUGGCGAACGGGUGAGUAAUGUAUCGGAACGUACCAUUCAGUGGGGGAUAACGUAGCGAAAGUUACGCUAAUACCGCAUAUUCUGUGAGCAGGAAAGCAGGGGAUCGCAAGACCUUGCGCUGAUUGAGCGGCCGAUAUCAGAUUAGCUAGUUGGUGAGGUAAAGGCUCACCAAGGCGACGAUCUGUAGCGGGUCUGAGAGGAUGAUCCGCCACACUGGAACUGAGACACGGUCCAGACUCCUACGGGAGGCAGCAGUGGGGAAUUUUGGACAAUGGGGGCAACCCUGAUCCAGCCAUGCCGCGUGAGUGAAGAAGGCCUUCGGGUUGUAAAGCUCUUUCGGCCGGAAAAAUCGCAUCAGUAAUACCUGGUGUGGAUGAUGGUACCGGAAGUAAGAAGCACCGGCUAACUACGUACG
rnacentral:rRNA from 1 species